GACGAACGCUGGCGGCGUGCCUAACACAUGCAAGUCGAGCGGAGACAUUAAGGAGCUUGCUCUGAAAUGUUUUAGCGGCGGACGGGUGAGUAACGCGUGAGCAACCUUUCUCUCAGUGGGGAAUAACACACCGAAAGGUGUACUAAUACCGCAUAAUGUGUACGGAGGGCAUCCUCUGUACAAGAAAGGGGAACCCGCUUUGAGAUGGGCUCAUGUCUGAUUAGGUAGUUGGUGAGGUAACGGCUCACCAAGCCUGCGAUCAGUAGCCGACCUGAGAGGGUGAUCGGCCACAUUGGAACUGAGACACGGUCCAAACUCCUACGGGAGGCAGCAGUGGGGAAUAUUGCACAAUGGGCGAAAGCCUGAUGCAGCAACGCCGCGUGAGCGAAGAAGGUCUUCGGGAUUGUAAAGCUCUGUCCUUGGGGAAGAAUAAAUGACGGUACCCUUGGAGAAGCCCGGCUAACUACGUGCAGCA
rnacentral:rRNA from 1 species